rnacentral:lncRNA from 1 species
AGUGCACGGGACACCAGCAGGCUCGAUCGUGCAUGGCAAUGCACGACGCAGCAAGAGAUCUCGUCCAUAGAUCACAACCCUCUGAUCUGAAUGUGUCCGAUCCGAUGGUUCUAUUAUCCUCCUCAGAAGAGGCUGCCGACGACCGCGGCGGCGAGCGCGGCGGCGACCCACCUGGCCACCCCGGCGCCGGGCGCGGCCGCCGACUUCUUGUCCUCGUCCGAGGCGGUGGAGUCGUCGGCGACGGGCGGCUCGGCGAUGCCGGUGGACUUCUUGUGCUUCUUCUUGGUCUUGGACUUGGUCGGCGCCGGUGCGGGCGCGGGCGCCGGGGUGGGCGGCUUGGGGCCGAAGAGCUCGUAGGGGAGCGGCACCUUGUCGACGGGGUAGACGGCGAGCGGGAAGUCCUUGCUGACGGGGCUCCCCAGGAGCAUGGAGUUGACGCCGGUGGAGAUGUUGACGUUGUUGCCCGCGCGCUUGAUGUCGU